rnacentral:lncRNA from 1 species
GGGGCAGAGAAAGCAGCAAGAAAUGUUGCCUCAGAAGGAGCUUUUUCCCAUCGUGAGGAUGCUUGGAGCCUGGCCUUGAGUGAGGAGUGAGAUGCUGCUCUUCAGCUCCUAGGCAGUGGAGGUCCUGCAUGUUUUUAUGAGCCAUGGACAUGUUUUUGGGCAUCAUGGUUAUGCAGCCACAAUGCUCUGGGGGUCUCUCCUUGGAUCUUACACUGCUUGUUUUGGCUUACGGACCAGUGCAUACUUUUAUGGCCAUUCAUUACUACAGGAAUGAAAAUAAGGCCCUUGAACCACUCCCCACCAUCCUAAAGCAGCUUCUUCUUACAUGGCCUUGGAUCAGCUCGCCAUCCACGUCCAACAGAACAAAUGCUAGCACAGGGGUCUUCCGUGGCUGAGACAGGUUCUGUGACUUGCAUUUGACUGAUGAAAUAUGGCAGAAGUGACACUGUGUGACUUCUGAAGCUUGUGCAGAAGAUGCUUUGCAUCAUCUUCCAGGAGUUCUUGAAACACUUUUUGGGACCCAGCUACCACAUAGUGAGAAGACCCAGCCACACACAGGUGCUCCAGUGGACAGCCCCAUCUGUGCUCCAAGCCAGCAUCAACUGCCAGCCUUGUGAAUGAACCACCUUGGACUUUCAGCCCCAUUGAGCCUGCAGACAACUCCAACCCUACAUACUGCAUGACUGCAGUAGGAUGAAAUAGAUAAACAGGCCCAGGGAGGUUUUGUGCCUAGCUUGAGUCAACACUGCUCUGGUGGUGGUCAGUCUCCUGCUGCUCGGUCCACAGUGCACACUAUUUCUGCUCUCUCUGGCUGGAGAGUCAGGGAAACUGUUGAGCCUACGAUAAUGAAGUCAAUUCUGAUCAACUGAGAUGCAGGAGGAACUCUGAGCAAGAUGAAGAAGGGGUGAAUGGUGACCUGUUCAGCCUGGCUGUUGGGCAUCCCCGGCUUUCAGCAGCACUGGAGGAAACGGAGCCAUGAUGGGCAACACACCAGGGACUGCAAAGGAGGCAACGGCAUAAUUUCUGCCCCCUGGAGAAGUCUGGCGCUGGCUAACAGACACAGCACAGGACUCAGGAGUGGAAGUGAAGCGUGCUCAUAACAUAUGAACGCAAGUGCCAAGCACCGUCCUUGAAAGAACAGAGCAGAACCUGACCAUCAGGCUGAUAGAAGUUGCAGAAAUAUGCCUUCACCAUGAUAAAAAUCUGGAUGUUGCAUAUGGAAAUUCAGGAUUUUUUUUAGCUUUUUUGAACAAUUGGAAAAUCUAAUGAUACUGGGAUACAAGACUUGUUUUUCUUGCAUGUUAACACCCAUUGGAGCUGAGCAGGGACUGUCCCGCUUUUUGUGGGACAUGAGUUUUGUGUGGGACAGAUAACCAUGGUUCCCACUGCUCCCUACUCCCGACACCUGGCCUGUCCUUCUCAAUUACUUGCCUGGUCCCUGGAGCCAUUUCAGUUUGAACGUCCUGGACCAGACUCAGGAAGAGUUAGUUUGGAAAAGUGUCAUGGAAGUAGGAAAUUCUUGAACAGAUUUUGAAAGGCAAGAUAAGAGUAGGCUGGCUGAUUAGGUGCACGGCAUUUUAGGAAGAAGCUUUCUAGAAGACCAGAAUGCUUCGGUUUAGCCAGAAGUAGGGCUGAUCUCAGGGUAUCUGUGCUUUGGAGAAAUCCAGAUGGUGUUGGCUGAGCAAGGUCUUAGCUCCUACUCUGUGCCAGGCAUUUUGUAGGAGCACUUCAGUGGACAAGACAAAUAGUUUCCUCCCUCAGGGAGCUUACAGCCUACUGGUGGAGGUGGCCAGUCAACAAGAAAACAAACUGCUACAUGUAAUUUACCCACUGUAACCAGUACUAUAAAAGGAACAGACAGAGCAUUGUUGUCACAGAGAAUUAUAAUGAAGGUGGUCAGGGAGGGGAGAAAGGAAUGAUACGGUGAGGAAUAUGAUCAAGAAGAUGUCAGGAAGAGGGAACAGCAUAUGCAAAGGCCCUGUGGUGCAGAAACCUGGAAUAGUCCCAAGACUGGAAGAACAACCAAUGGGUCUAGAGCAUAGCAAGUAAAGAGGAAAGUGGUAUAACAUGACCUGGAAAAGGAGGCAGAGUCAGAUCACAGGCAUCUGAGUAAGAGGUUAGAGCUAGACUCCACUCUACAAAGCAGCUGUGAAAGGUCUGAAGGAUAGGAAUGACCUGAUUCAACUUACAUGUCAAAGGGGCUUGAGAGAUCGGCCUGGGAAAGGGCAAGGAAAGGCAGGACAACACAGAAGGAAGACAGGGAGGCAGUGAGCUGCUAUCCGAAAGGCACCUGGUGUGGGCUCUCCUGCCCUUGCAGCUGCCCACUGCCAUCAGAGCACUGCCAGUACUCCCUCCUCAGUUGGCAGCAGUCCAUGCAGCUUUCUCCUGGGUAUUUCCUUCAUCUCUACCCUUGGUGCUCAUGUUUUAGAACUUUUCUCCAGAAUAUAAAAUGAAGGGGAUGGUGACUUGCCUCUCUCUCCCUCCCCUGCAAACCCACCCCUGACCUCCCAGUACACAUACACACAAACCUGCAAGUGUGUACACACAGAGUGAUCUCAGGGUGCCUCACACCUAGGGUAGAAAGAAGCAGGUGGAAGAGCUUUGCCUGGCUGGAGUGACACCCACCAACCUGAGCUUAGCAGGAGUGGAGGCAGUUAGGUAGAGUAGGGCUGAUUGAUAAUAGCCUUGAAGUCUGAGACUGAAAGAGUUUCAUUAUGAUUUGGGAGGCAGCUGGGAGCCUUUGUGGAUGUGCAAAGAGGAGACCAAUGUGAUCUAAGUGACACUGGAGGAAAAAGAUUCUUGAUGAUGUGUGUCCAAUAGACGUGAGGGGACCCACACAGGCUGGAGGAAGGUGAGCUUAUUGGGAGGCAGGAGUCCAGGUGUGCAGGGAUUAUGACUUGGACCAAAGGUGUGGGAAGGGGAAGCAGCCAGAAGAAGAAAUGGCAGGAUUUAAUGUUGCACUUAGUGUGCCUCUGGGUGUAUGUUGGGGGUGGGAGACACGGGUAUAAAGAGAAAUGAAUGAGAAACCACGAAUUUAUUUGGCAAUGGCAUGGGACCUGGGAAUGGAUUUGGUAGGACAGCCAAGAGAAAUGUUUAAGAGCUCACUCAGACAUGAGAAGUCGUCCCUUCCUUCUCCCUCCAUCUUGGACGGUUAAUUACUUUGUCUCAGGUGUGUGUCCAUUCCUGUGCUUGUACCAUGAUGUCGUGUUAUAAUAUGUCUUUUGUCUGUCUAUACCUGCUGCUGAUCUGUGAGCCUCUGAAGACAGAUGCCUUAGUUUACUCCCUUUCUCUUCCCACUUCAUAGUUAGCAGGGGGCCUGGCCCUUAGCGAGAACUCAGCAUGUUUUGGUAAGUGAGUGAAUGGGAACUUUUCAGAGGCGUGCUGUUGAACCCCAGCCACUGUGCAACCACUGUAAAAUGUACACAUUUUGUGGAAGCUGCAGCAUCCUGUCAACAGUUGUGGAAAUCAGGUUACAGCCCAGAGCCUCACAAAGCCCCGGCCAUUACAGCGACUGACAGGUGGUCCUGGAAGUAGGGCAUGGAUUGGCGGACAGGAGGCUGGAGGAGUUAAAAUAGUGCUGGGGGAAUCUGAGAUGAAAUUGCAGGGUCGUUUAAACACCUUAGGGUUACAAAUGGGCUUUCACCCUUAAAAUCCCAUCUGUAAAUAUGUAGUCUUAAACUGCCUAAAGAGUCCUCUUAAUGUUGUUAAAUCCCAUGGUUGGUAGAGGCCAUAGCAAAGGCUUCGUACACUCUCAUCCUGUUGCUUUCACUGAAAUUACCUCUGUGUUACAAUGAAAUCUGAAACCUGGAAGAUAGGUUAAAAAUGAAACUCCCUACCACAUGCUAUGCUACCAACCAAAAUCAACUGAAUUUAUUAAGCUUUCUAGAUAACUACCUUACUCAGCUUUUAUUCUGUGCCAGGCAUUGAUUAUAUGCACAUCAUAGCAUUUAAAGUUCACAACAAUUCCAUGAGAUAGGCACUGGUGUUGCCACUGGUGUUGCAGGUGAGCAAUCUGACGCCUAAAGGGUUGAAGUUACUUGCCCACUAAGUGUGCUCUAUUAUGAGCUCAUCCCUUGGCCAUGCAGUCUUCCAACUUAACAACAAGAAAGACAAGCCUGGGAAGGACAGAAGAGGUGGGGCUUCAAGUAGAGCAGGGAGUUUUCCAUGAAGAAGCAUGAAUGCAAGCUGCUUGAGCAGCCCAGUCCCCCCAGAGAGUACACGUGGAGGGAGACAGAGUGAUCAAGACUGCUUUUUACAGUGGGUCUUCAAGAGACACUUGGGGAGGUAGAGGAGGAGACAGCCAUGGGACCAAAGGACCUUUCCAAGAAGCAACCAGGAGUUCACCCAAGUCCCACUAUAGCUGAAACACCCUGUUAGCAGGACCUUCAUCUUCUCUGUUUCUUCUUACCUAUUCCUUCCCCAAUCACACAUUCCUAAUAGAUAAACAGAUAGAUUGGGUGCCAACAGUGUUUUCAAUUCAGAUGUUCAUUUAGCAGGAACUUGGCUAAGGAUCAGCCUAUCUAGAAUCUGGGACCAGAUGAGAGUAUAACAACUACGUGAGAAAAGCAUACGAUAUCAAAGCAAUAUAGCGCAUCUAACUUGCCUUCCGAGAAGCCAAGGAAACCCAAAGGAUGGCUCAAAAAGAGCAAGACUGCACUGCACUUCCUCUGGCCAUUACUACAACCAAAAGUGGUUUUGUGCAUGCUCAGCAGUCUUGGAAAAUUGCCUUUGCCCAAGGCCACCCAGGGCAACAAUGGUAAAACAAUGGAGGGCAAAGGGGUGAAUCUGAAUUUCAACAUAGUGCUUUCCAGAUAGUGGCUGCAGAAAUUCACUUAAUGGUUUUAAACUGAACUUUUCCGAAACUCAAAAGAGAUACAGGUUAUGGAUUUGAGGAAGGCUGUUAUACUGAUAGUGUUUUGUUUUGUUUUGUCUUUUCUUUUCUUUUUUUUUAGGGCUGCACCCUCAGCAUAUGGAGGUACCCAGGCUAGGAGUCGAAUCAGAGCUGUAGCUGCCGGCCUGCGCCACAGCCACAGCGACCCCAGAUCCAAGCCAAGUCUGCUACCUACACCACGGCUUAUAGCAAUGCCAGAUCCUUAACCCAUUGAGCGAGGCCAGGAUCAAACCCGUGUCCUCAUGGAUGCUGAUCAGAUUCAUUUCCAUUGGAGCACAUCGGGAACUCCUGCUGAUAGUAUUAGAGAUGAAAAGCUUUUGGGAGAUAAUUUAGUUCAGACUCCUAAUUUUUAAAGGCCAGAAAACUGAAGCUAAGAAAGGAGAAGCAACUUGCUCAUGGUUACACAACCAGACAAUUGACAUACUGGGGCUAGAAACCAAGUUUCCUCUCUGUUCUGCUGGAAUUUUUCCCCCUAGGGGACAUAGGAGAGUUAAGCACCCAAAUAAAAACAUUGUCUCAGCAU